GAGAUAUUAGUAAAACUUACAUAACUUUGUCAAAGUUAAAUUACAGGUGAAACUCCUGUAUAUCUCU
rnacentral:tRNA from 1 species